rnacentral:rRNA from 1 species
GUAAGGAAUAUUGGGCAAUGGACGCAAGUCUGACCCAGCCAUGCCGCGUGAAGGAUGAAGGCCCUAUGGGUUGUAAACUUCUUUUAUACGGGAAAAAACCACCGGUCGUGUAUCGGUGCUGAUGGUACCGUAAGAAUAAGCAUCGGCUAACUCCGUGCCAGCAGCCGCGGUAAUACGGAGGAUGCAAGCGUUAUCCGGAUUCAUUGGGUUUAAAGGGUGCGCAGGCGGAUUAAUAAGUCAGUGGUGAAAUCCUACGGCUCAACUGUAGAACUGCCAUUGAUACUGUUAGUCUUGAGUAUUGUUGAGGUAGGCGGAAUGUGUCAUGUAGCGGUGAAAUGCUUAGAUAUGACACAGAACACCAAUCGCGAAGGCAGCUUACCAAGCAAUAACUGACGCUCAUGCACGAAAGCGUGGGGAUCAAACAGGAUUAGAUACCCCAGUAGUCC